UGAAUGAUGCCUUUUUGAGAAAA
rnacentral:miRNA from 1 species